UUAGCAAAGAGCCAUUAGGCCUUGGUCUUUGGCCAAUGAGGAAGAUCAGAAAGGGAGAACCCCCAUUCUCAUGUUCUCCCCUUGCCCGUCUCUUUCUCCUCUUGCCUUCAUUUCGUUCACCAAAAAUAGCCCCGCUGCGCCGAAAGUCACCUUCAGCGGCAGGGCUGCCCAGAAACUGAACAUACCCUCCUCAAAACCUUUGUUUACUCACCCUCAACAUGAAUCCCUCACUGAAAUCAAUCAAAACCUAUCCCUAAUCCAUAAAUCUAAUUUAGACAUAAACCCUAAAAUUUAGAACUUAAAUUAAAUGGCGAUGUAGCAUGGAAUCAAGCAAUUUGCAUAUGGUUUCUACUCAGUGCAUCACAAACAGCGCCAUAGUAACAAGAAUUUGAAGAAAAGAUGAAGAAAAAUCACCGACUUUGAAUGUUCUCAGAGUGUCCAAAUCCCCAGGUUGGGCAUGAAGUUUAUGCAGCCUGGUUUAUUGGUUGGGCAUGAAUUUAGGCAUGGUCCAUGAAGCAUUUUAGAAACAUUGAAACUACUUGGACAUGAAGAUAUGUGAUGAUAAUUGAAGAAUGGAAGCAAACUGAAGCUGAAAACAGUUAGGUCUUAGGUAAAAUUGGGGUCCUGGUCAAACUUCGGUCAAUUGUUUGACAAGAAGUCAAUAGUUGACCAAAAAUCUAUUGUCGGUCAAGACUUGGAUUUUUCAAGUAUCAAUUUUGUAAUAUUUUUUUCUUGUAUUUUGGUACAUUUGAAUGUAAUGUUGACUUGCACUUCAAGAAACAAAGCUCCUUUAUAUUUUCUUUCCAUUUCUUU